rnacentral:rRNA from 1 species
AUUGUAAACUCCUGUCAUCUGGGAGUAAGCCUGACGGUAAAUAGCCGGCAGGGUUGAUAGUACCAGAAGAGGAAGGGACGGCUAACUUCGUGC